AAGAUACGUGAUUUUGGUGGGAAACACAGAUUUGGAAGAAAAACCGUUCACGAUUAGAUCCAAUCAAAAGAUAAUUCUUAGCUGUAGGAUAUAUUAUUCUGAGGGGCAUUCGAUACAACUUACUUAUCGAAAUACAACUUCUACUGAGUAUCUAUUGACCAGAACUGACGGCGAACGAUUAGACUUUGAAAUUAACACAAAAUGUACAAGUUCUGGACAGUAUGAAUGUGCAUUUUCCAGCAAUGUAAAGCGGCUAAUUGGAAUAAUAAAAGUACUAUGUCCUGCAACAUUUUGUGACGAAUCUGGGUAUAUUCCCACAUUUCCUGUUUCGUCUCGUCUUCAAGCCAUCACCAUACAAUUAUGCGUUUGGGCUUUUCCUAAACCUAAAACAUUAUGGCUAGAGA
rnacentral:sRNA from 1 species